rfam:Carnobacterium maltaromaticum LMA28 complete genome
UGAAACGCUAUGAAGAGAAAAGUAUUGCUAGUAAACGUAAUAACAGAGAGCCUGAUUGCUGAAAACAGGUUUACGACUACUAACAAGAAAAUGGCCUCUGAGCGGGGUACCGAAUUGGAUUUUUCCAUUAGGCUACCAUGGGUGCACCCAUUAACGUGCUAGGGUAUCAGAACUUGGCGGUUCUUGUACUUAAUGAGGGAUUUCUUGCAAGGGAAAUCUAAACAAAGGUGGUAACACGUACGUUCAAACGUUCGUCCUUCUA